UUUCGGUUUUCUCGUAUUGACUCUUUAUUUUAUUUUAUUUGAAAUUCUUUUACUAUUAGUAUUUUUAUUAUUACUAGAUGAUAAAACAUGAAUAAUAUUUUAUGCGUGACUAAUUUUUUUAAAGUUUUUAUAUAAAUUUUUUAAAUAAAACGAAUAGUCAAACGUUAGAUACGGAAAAAC
rnacentral:pre_miRNA from 1 species